rnacentral:rRNA from 1 species
GACGAACGCUGGCGGCGUGCUUAACACAUGCAAGUCGAACGGUAAGGCCCUUCGGGGUACACGAGCGGCGAACGGGUGAGUAACACGUGGGUGAUCUGCCCUGCACUUCGGGAUAAGCCUGGGAAACUGGGUCUAAUACCGGAUAGGACUCCUGCCUGCAUGGGUGGGGGGGGAAAGCUUUUGCGGUGUGGGAUGGGCCCGCGGCCUAUCAGCUUGUUGGUGGGGGGAUGGCCUACCAAGGCGACGACGGGUAGCCGGCCUGAGAGGGUGACCGGCCACACUGGGACUGAGAUACGGCCCAGACUCCUACGGGAGGCAGCAGUGGGGAAUAUUGCACAAUGGGCGCAAGCCUGAUGCAGCGACGCCGCGUGAGGGAUGACGGCCUUCGGGUUGUAAACCUCUUUCAGCACAGACGAAGCGCAAGUGACGGUAUGUGCAGAAGAAGGACCGGCCAACUACGUGCCAGCAGCCGCGGUAA